rnacentral:lncRNA from 1 species
AGGUAUUUUAAAAGUAGACCGAAUUUUUGAUUUGGGAUACCCAAACCUUGUUGAAGUGAGAAAGGGUAUUAGUUUUUACAAACACUGGAUCUCAAGGUAAAUCACUAUUAUGAACAUGACUUAGCCGUGAGUUACUUCGUGCUUCCAAAAAUAACAGAAUAAAGCGUAGUUUGUCCAAUUUUUGUCCAAUUUUUGAAGUAGGGCAUAAACUCUUUCGCAAACAUAGCUAGUUACAGAUUUAGGGUUUAGGGUUUUAGGAUUUUAGCUAGUUACAGGUUAUCCACUAGAAACUAACUCCAAAAUCACGAUCAGUUGUGCUAUGUUAGGGUGUAUCUGUCAAUUUCACUUGUACAGUUAUGAAUCAAAGAAGCAACUUAUGUUACUUCACUCUAGC